UCUGUGACACUGUAGCUUUGGGUGAGGUGUGCAGUAUUUUAACCCAGUGGGUGAACGACUCUCCGAAGCCAAAUCUAUGUAAUGUAUUAAAGAGGAAUGUCCACCUGACUGUCAGAUGCUGUUUCUGCAUCUAUGAUGUAAUCAUGGCUAUAGUGUGGGUAUGCUGAGCAACACUAACUAAAUUAAAUAUCUAUGGAUGUUGUCUGAGGCAUGUCUUGUCCUGAUGAAGUCUGUCUGAUCAGGAUGGAUUAUAGUAGGAAUGACUGUCUGUAACCGAGUGGCGAGAGCUUUUGUAAUGAUUUUCAAGUCUGUAUACAUUAGAGAGAGUGGCGGGUAACUGGAAGGCUGUGCUGGGUCUUUAUCAGGUCUCAAUAACACUGUAAUGGAUGGUAACUGGAGGGUUGUGUUGGGUCUUUAUCAGGUCUCAAUAACACUGUAAUGGAUGGUAACUGGAGGGUUGUGUUGGGUCUUUAUCAGGUUUCAAUAACACUGUAAUGGCCGGUAACUGGAGGGUUGUGCUGGGUCUUUAUCAGGUCUCAAUAACACUGUAAUGGCCGGUAACUGGAGGGUUGUGCUGGGUCUUUAUCAGGUCUCAAUAACACUGUAAUGGUCGGUAACUGGAGGGUUGUGUUGGGUCUUUAUCAGGUCUCAAUAACACUGUAAUGGCCGGUAACUGGAGGGUUGUGCUGGGUCUUUAUCAGGUCUCAAUAACACUGUAAUGGUCGGUAACUGGAGGGUUGUGUUGGGUCUUUAUCAGGUCUCAAUAACACUGUAAUGGCCGGUAACUGGAGGGUUGUGUUGGGUCUUUAUCAGGUCUCAAUAACACUGUAAUGGCCGGUAACUGGAGGGUUGUUUUGGGUAUUUGUCAGGUCUCAAUAACACUAUAAUGGUCGCUGUACUCAUUUGUGAUGGGAUUUGUGAUGUAUGUUUAAUUUCUCUAUUUGUCUUUUGAAGAGUGGAGAUAAUACAUCCCAAAAAUGUUUAUAGAUUUCUGUAGGGAAACCAUCCGGUCUGGGCGAUUGGUUGUUAGGCAUUUGGUUGUUUUUCUGAUGUUAAUGGUGCAUCAAGGGUAUCUGCUAUUUCAUUGGUUAAUAUGGGUGUCUAGAUUAUUUAAAAAUAAUUCUAUAUCAACUGCAUCUGGUCCUUGUUCUGAGGAGUAUAGGUUCUUAUAAAAUGUUUGGAAAGUGUUGUGAAUUUCAUGUGAUUAUUGAAAUAUUUA